UCACGUCGUGUCACGUAGGCCUGGCGGAGUAGCAGCGCGCAUGCGCGGCCUGCCUGGCAGUAACCACGUGAUGGACCCGGAAGCACGAGGGCAGAUGCUAGAUGAUGGCCUUUUGACAUUUGCGUGUGUUCACUGUGGAUAAUUUUACCAGGUACAUUGAUUUGGGCCCUUACAGCUUACAAAGUAAAGAUAACACUUACUCCUCCAAGAAAUUGAUUUCAGCUAAGCAAAACAUUGAUACAGGGCUAUAAUGGAAGUGUUGGACUCCUAAUUAUAAACGUUUUAUGAAAUUAGUGUAUGCGUAUUACAGAAAUCAGAAAUGAGAAGUAAGAACAUGUCUUGGGAGAGUGUGACAUAAGAAAAAUAACUUGUAGGCUUAUUUAACAGACACCAGCAGUUCUCAGGAUUCCCCAUGUUAGAGCCUUUCUUACUGUCCUCUGAGAAAUGAAAAUGAAAUCCAAAGACCCCCAACUGACUACACGAACCCCCUACUGGCUAAGAAGAUCCCAGGGUUACCUUGAAGGCAGUUCUCAGCCAUGACAGAUGGGAGUUUCGGCACAAUUGACCAGUAUUGCUUACUGAUAAGAGACACUGGAGUGGUUCUGGUGAGAUGACAUGACCCUCGUGAAGGGGCCUGAAGCUUCAUUGUGCUUGUGUAUGUUUCUCUCUUCAAAAAUAUUCAUGACUCCUCCUGUAGCUUGAUAAAUAUGUAUAUUUACACACUGCUCCGCAUAGAUUCCUGUUCCGUUUGCCCCUCCCUGGAAGUGUCCGUUUCUUGCUUCUGGCCAGAGGCAGUGCUUCCCUGCCUGUCAGAAUGGCCACCCUGCAGGCUGAAACCCUUUAUGAGAAAUAAAGCUCUCCUUUCCAAA